rnacentral:rRNA from 1 species
UACAGAGGGUGCGAGCGUUAAUCGGAAUUACUGGGCGUAAAGCGCACGUAGGUGGCGACGUAAGUCGGGUGUGAAAGCCCCGGGCUCAACCUGGGAAUUGCAUUCGAGACUGCAUUGCUGGAGUACGGAAGAGGAAGGCGGAAUUCCCGGUGUAGCGGUGAAAUGCGUAGAUAUCGGAAGGAACAUCAGUGGCGAAAGCGGCUUCCUGGACCAGCACCGACGUUCAGGCACGAAAGCGUGGGGAGCAAACAGG